GGGGACAGAGUGACAGGUGGUGCAUGGUUGUCGUCAGCUCGUGUCGUGAGAUGUUGGGUUAAGUCCCGCAACGAGCGCAACCCUUGAUUUUAGUUGCCAGCAUUAAGUUGGGCACUCUAAGGUGACUGCCGGUGACAAACCGGAGGAAGGUGGGGAUGACGUCAAAUCAUCAUGCCCCUUAUGACCUGGGCUACACACGUGCUACAAUGGAUGGUACAAAGGGCUGCAAGACCGCGAGGUCAAGCCAAUCCCAUAAAACCAUUCUCAGUUCGGAUUGU
rnacentral:rRNA from 1 species